UUUCAGCUAUUUUUGGAUCACUUCCAGUUCCUGGUAUCUUCACUCUCUUUUUGUACAGCCAAGAGCCAACUAUAAUUUUCCAUUUGGACCAAAAAAUAAAAAAUAAUAAUUAACCAAGUCCAGGUAAGCCCAAACCUAUAAAUUUACGAGUAUGGACUUGCAUAAACGAACGGUCCAACGAAGAACGGCAUGGUGAUGUUUGUACCACUGCAACACAUUGUGAAUCGCUAUUGCCAAAAUUUUCAGCUUCUCAAUCUCUUUCUGAAACCAAAAAGCUGCACGCCCUCAUCCUCAUCCUUGGUGUUUUCUCCUCCUCCUUUAACCUUUGCUCUAAGCUUGUCACAUCAUACGCGCUAUGCCGCCACCCGUCCUAUGCAUCCCACCUGUUUGAUAAGUUGCCUCAGCCAAGCUUGCUCUCCUGGAACGCUAUGAUGAGGUUGUAUGUCCAAAUGGGGCACCCCCUUGAUGUCCUCAACUUGUUUGUUUAAAUGCUCGGGACGGGUCGGACCCUGCCUGACAAAUUCACAUACCCGGUUGUUAUCAAGGCUUGUGGUGACUUGUCUUUGAUUGAUGUGGGCGUUGGAAUUCAUGGGCAGACCUUUAAGUUUGGCUAUGAUUCCGACACAUUUGUUCAAAACACUUUGUUGGCAAUGUAUAUGAAUGCCGGGGAGAAGGAAGCAGCACAACUGGUUUUUGACUUGAUGCUGGAACGGACUGUGAUUUCUUGGAAUACCAUGAUUAACGGGUACUUUUGGAAUAACUGUGUAGAAGAUGCAGUAAAGGUUUAUGGUAGAAUGAUGGAUGUGGGUGUCGAGCCUAAUUGUGCAACUGUGGUUUCGGUGUUGCCUGCUUGUGGGCUUUUGAAAAAUGUGGAGCUUGGCAGAGACGUUCAUGCAUUAGUUCAGGAGAAAGGAUUUUGGGGAGAUAUUGUAGUUUGGAGUGCAUUGCCGGACAUGUAUGUUAAGUGUGGUCAGAUGAAGGAAGCAUGGUUGCUAGCGAAGGGGAUGGAUGAGAAAGAUGUGGUUACAUGGACUACUUUGAUUAAUGGAUAAUUUUGAAUGGGGAUGCUAGAAGUGCUUUGAUGCUUUGUCGGAUGAGGCAGUGUGAAGGAGUGAAACCAAAUUCGGUAAGCAUAGCUUCUUUACUAUCAGCAUGUGGCAGUUUGGUUUAUUUGAACUAUGGCAAGUGCCUGCAUGCAUGGGCAAUAAGGCAAAAGCUCGAGUCUGAGGUCAUUGUGGAAACUGCCUUGAUUGAUAUGUAUGCCAAAUGUAAUCAUGGCAACCUCAGUUAUAAAGUGUUUAUGGGAACCUCUAAGAAGAGAACGGCCCCAUGGAAUGCUCUUCUAUCUGGGUUCAUACAAAAUAAGCUUGCAAGAGAGGCAAUAGAACUCUUUAAGCAAAUGUUAGUGAAAGAUGUACAACCUGACCAUGUGAGCUUUAAUAGUCUUCUCCCUGUAUAUUCUAUUCUUGCUGAUCUCCAACAGGCAAUGAACAUACAUUGUUACGUUAUAAGAUCAGGUUUUCUUUACAGACUUGAAGUAGCAAGUAUUCUAGUUGAUAUAUACUCAAAGGGUGGAAGUUUAGGAUAUGCUCACCAGAUUUUUAAUAUAAUUCCUCUGAAGGACAAGGAUAUUAUUAUUUGAAGUGCAACAAUUGCUGCUUAUGGAAAGCAUGGACAUGGCAAAAUGGCUGUGAAACUUUUCAAUCAGUUGGUACAAUCUGGAGUAAAACCAAAUCAUGCCACCUUCACCUCUGUUCUGCAUGCUUGCAGCCAUGCAGGUUUGGUUGACGAGGGUUUUUCUUUGUUCAACUUUAUGCUCAAGCAACAUCAAGUUAUUCCCCAUGUUGAUCAUUAUACUUGCAUUGUUGAUCUUCUUGGACGUACUGGUAGACUGAAUGAUGCUUAUAACCCUAUUAGAACAAUGCCUAUAACACCUAACCAUGCCGUAUGGGGUGCACUACUUGGUGCUUGUGUGAUUCAUGAGAAUGUUGAACUGGGAGAGGUGGCUGCUAGGUGGACUUUUGAGCUUGAGCCUGAAAAUACUGGAAAUUAUGUUUUGUUGGCAAAACUUUAUGCUACUGUAGGAAGGUGGGGAGAUGCAGAGAAGAUUAGAGAUAUGGUAAAUGAGGUAGGAUUAAGAAAACUACCUGCUCACAGUUUAGUUGAGGUCAGAGAUAUGUAAAUUGAAUAGAUUACAAUGUCAGCUUAACAACAUCUGCCACAAACAUUAAAAUUCUAUCCAAAAUGAGAGUCAUUAUUGCAGUAGUCAUGGAAGACCCUAUAAAAUGUGAAAGGUAUUUCCUUUAGAGGGGAAGUGCCUACCUUUUUCCGUUAUUUUAAUCAUGACGGAGGGAAAUGCCUUUGCUUCAAUAAUGUUGGUUGGCAUGCAUAGAGUUCAAGGCAGAGAUUUUGGCUCCAAUUUCCUUGAUACACUUCUGUUGAUGCUCAAUUGCCAAUACCAAUCAGUGCCUAAUGUCUGCGGCUUUUCACACACAUUCCUUGGUACUCCAUGUUUGUGGUUUUACUGAGACGGAUUUUUUAGUAUUCAGGAUAUUGCCUUUUCCUAUGGUUGUCUGGUUGUUGUUGAUCCCUUAUACUGGCCACGCAGCUACUUAUUCUCCCAUUUUCUUGCAAGAUGGCAAUGAUUGCAUAUUGACUAUGAGGGAAAGAAACAGAGCAGAACUAGGUCGGUACUACCUAUUCUUAUAGACUUAUACUUUAUGCAGUCGCUUGUUAGCUAUGUUGAGCAUAAUGACUUCACUUACUGGUGAUGCGCUUGUCCUUAUAUCUUGAGCUCGUGCUUACGUUUUGAUGUAAUCCAUAAUCUUUUUAAAAUUUCAUUGGUUUAUCAAUUGUAAAAAAAUAUUGUCAACCUACUAUUCAUUUUUUGUUAAUUAAUGGAGUUAAAUUAUUUA